AUUGAACGCUGGCGGCAUGCCUUACACAUGCAAGUCGAACGGCAGCACGGGAGCAAUCCUGGUGGCGAGUGGCGAACGGGUGAGUAAAGUAUCGGAACGUGCCCAGUCGUGGGGGAUAACGUAGCGAAAGUUACGCUAAUACCGCAUACGAUCUAUGGAUGAAAGCGGGGGAUCGCAAGACCUCGCGCGAUUGGAGCGGCGGAUAUCAGAUUCGGUAGUUGGUGGGGUAAAGGCUCACCAAGCCGACGAUCUGUAGCUGGUCUGAGAGGACGACCAGACACACUGGGACUGAGACACGGCACAGACUCCUACGGGAGGCAGCAGUAGGGAAUUUUGGACAAUGGGCGAAAGCCUGAUCCAGCCAUGCCGCGUGCAGGAUGAAGGCCUUCGGGUUGUAAACUGCUUUUGUACGGAACGAAAAGGUUUGGCCUAAUAAGCUGAGCUCAUGACGGUACCGUAAGAAUAAGCACCGGCUAACUACGUGCCAGCCGCCGCGGUAA
rnacentral:rRNA from 1 species